AGAAUGAACGUUGGCGGCGUGGAUUAGGCAUGCAAGUCGAACGGGCCGCAAGGCCAGUGGCGGAAGGGUGAGUAAGGCGACGGUAACCAACCCCGAGGUUGGGCAUAGCCGGGGGAAACUCCGGGUAAUUCCCAGCGAUAUGGCGAACCGGCAUCGGUUUGCCAUCAAAGAUUUAUCGUCUCGGGACGGGCCGUUGUGGUAUUAGCUUGUUGGCGGGGUGACGGCCCACCAAGGCUGCGAUGCCUACCGGGCGUGCGAGCGUGGCCCGGCACACUGGGACUGAGACACUGCCCAGACUCCUACGGGAGGCUGCAGUCGAGAAUCUUCGGCAAUGGGCGCAAGCCUGACCGAGCGACGCCGCGUGGAGGAUGAAGGCCUUCGGGUUGUAAACUCCUGUCGAGGGGGAGGAAGCCGCAAGGUUGACCGAUCCCUGGAGGAAGCACGGGCUAAGUUCGUGCCAGCAGCCGC
rnacentral:rRNA from 1 species